rnacentral:piRNA from 1 species
UGAGAUGUUGUAACUUAAAGUUGCCAGGAA